AGUAACACGUGGGGAACCUGCCCCAUAGUCUGGGAUACCACUUGGAAACAGGUGCUAAUACCGGAUAAGAAAGCGGAUCGCAUGAUCAGCUUUUAAAAGGCGGCGUAAGCUGUCGCUAUGGGAUGGCCCCGCGGUGCAUUAGCUAGUUGGUAAGGUAAAGGCUUACCAAGGCGAUGAUGCGUAGCCGAGUUGAGAGACUGAUCGGCCACAUUGGGACUGAGACACGGCCCAAACUCCUACGGGAGGCAGCAGUG
rnacentral:rRNA from 1 species